rnacentral:rRNA from 1 species
GAGUUUGAUCGUGGCUCAGAUUGAACGCUGGCGGCAUGCCUUACACAUGCAAGUCGAACGGCAGCAUGAUCUAGCUUGCUAGAUUGAUGGCGAGUGGCGAACGGGUGAGUAAUACAUCGGAACGUGCCCUGUAGUGGGGGAUAACUAGUCGAAAGAUUAGCUAAUACCGCAUACGACCUGAGGGUGAAAGUGGGGGACCGCAAGGCCUCAUGCUAUAGGAGCGGCCGAUGUCUGAUUAGCUAGUUGGUGGGGUAAAGGCCCACCGAGGCGACGAUCAGUAGCUGGUCUGAGAGGACGAUCAGCCACACUGGGACUGAGACACGGCCCAGACUCCUACGGGAGGCAGCAGUGGGGAAUUUUGGACAAUGGGGGCAACCCUGAUCCAGCAAUGCCGCGUGUGUGAAGAAGGCCUCGGUUGUAAG